rnacentral:rRNA from 1 species
UACGGAGGGGGCUAGCGUUAUUCGGAAUUACUGGGCGUAAAGCGCACGUAGGCGGCUUUGUAAGUCAGAGGUGAAAGCCUGGAGCUCAACUCCAGAACUGCCUUUGAGACUGCAUCGCUUGAAUCCAGGAGAGGUGAGUGGAAUUCCAGGUGUAGCGGUGAAAUGCGUAGAUAUCUGGAGGAAUACCGGUGGCGAAGGCGGCAUCCUGGACCGGCAUUGACGCUGAGGAGCGAAAGCCAGGGGAGCAAACGGG